CCUACGGGAGGCAGCAGGGGGGAAUAUUGGGCGAUGGGCGCAAGACUGACCCAGCAACGCCGCGUGAAGGAAGAAGGCCCUCGGGUUGGAAACCUCUUUUAACAGGGACGAAGAAAGUGACGGUACCUGUUGAAUAAGCCACGGCUAACUACGUGCCAGCAGCCGCGGUAAUACGUAGGGGGCAAGCGUUAUCCGGAUUUACUGGGUGUAAAGGGCGUGUAGGUGGGAGAGCAAGUCAGACGUGAAAUUCCAGGGCUCAACCCUGGAAUUGCGUUUGAAACUGUUCUUCUUGAGUGAUGGAGAGGCAGGCGGAAUGCCGUGUGUAGCGGUGAAAUGCGUAGAUAUACGGAGGAACACCGGUGGCGAAGGCGGCCUGCUGGACAUUAACUGACGCUGAGGCGCGAAAGCGUGGGGAGCAAACAGGAUUAGAUACCCUAGUAGUC
rnacentral:rRNA from 1 species